AAAGUAAAUAAAUAAAUACAAAUAAAUAAAAUUUCCAUAUACCACAGGUGUGGUCACAAAAAUGUAAUAAUAAAAUAGUAAAAAAUAAAAUAACAUAAUAAAAAAUAAAACUUGAUGUGAUGCUGGGACGAUGAAACAUUAUUUGACGGUGACGACAGUGACGAUGAGGACAGCUGUUACGAUGACGGCCGUGGUGACAGUGACACCCUCUCUCUCACAGGAUCACUGCGCGGUUGAGACCUAAUCCAUGCAGCGUACCCAGCGCAGAGCCUGGCCUGUUAAGUUUCAGAUGCCCGUACCUUCUCUCCCAGACCUUCUGCUCUUUUCUUUUGGAUUGUCUUUAUUUGGGUAUUCAUACAUAUAUCAGUUUUAUGUUUCUGCUGUGCCAAAUAGUUACAACGCUGAUGAUUUAAAACAGUGCAUCUUUAUUCUCAUAUGGUCUGAAGGUGAGAGGUCUAAAAUCAGGUUCAUGGGCCGACAUCGGUGUGUCGGAAGAAAUGUGUUCCCUCCAGAGCCUGUGGGAGAGCGGCGGUGCCCUUGUCUGGACUUGCUUUGGAGCUCCCUCCUUGUUCCUAGGGUGGGCUCGUAUCACUGUAAACAUCCCUCUCACAGCUGCGUUUGCUGCAUCCCGAAGGUUUUGGAUUGUUGUGUUUUUGUUUACAUUUGUCUCUAGGAAUUUUUCGAUUUCUUCAGUGAGCCAUUGGUGGUCUAAUAACAUAUUGUUUAACCUCCAUGUGUUUGUGUUUUUUACCCCUUUUUUUUUUCUUGUAGUGGAUUUCUAAUCUCAUAGCAACUUGGUCAGAAAACUUACUUAAUAUGAUUUCAGUUUUCUUAAAUAACUGAGACUUGGUUUGUGGCCCAUCAUGUAAUCUGUCCUGGAGAAGUUUCCAUGUGUGCUUUCGAAGAAUGUGUAUUCUGCUGCUUCUAGAGGAAAUGCUAUAUAAAUAUCAAUUAAGUCCAUCUGUUCUAAUGUGUCAUUUAAGACCUGUGUUUUCUUAUUGAUUUUCUGUCUCGAUGAUCUGUCCAUUGAUGUAAGUGGGGUGUUAAAGUCCCCCUGCUAUUAUUGUGUUACUGUCUAUUUCCCCUUUUAUGUCUCUUAGCAUUUGUCUUAUAUGUUGAGGUGCUUCUGUGUUGGGUGCAUACAUAUUUACAAUUGUUACCUUUUUUGGAUUGAUUCCUUGAUCAUUCUGUAAUGUCCUUCUUUUUCUCUUACAAUGGUCUUUAUUUUAAAGUCUGUAUCGUUUGCUAUGAGUAUGCUAUUCCAGAUUUCUUUUGAUUUCCAUUUACCUGGAAUACCUUUUUCCAUCUCUUCACUUUCAGUCUGUAUAUGUCCCCAGAUCUGAAGUGGGGAGACAGCAUAUCUAUGGAUCUUAUUUUUGUAUCCAUUCAGCCAGUCUGUGUCUUUUGGCUGGAGCAUUUAAUCCAUAUACAUUUAAGCAGUUAUUGAUAUGUACGUUUUUAUUGCCAUCUUGUUAAUUGCUUUGGAUGUGUUUUUAUAGGACUUGUUUCUUCCCUUCCUCUUUUGUUCUCUUGUGAUUUAGUGACUAUCUUUAGUGCUGAGUUUGGACUUUCUUUUUUGUGUGUGUAUCUGUUGUAGACUUUUGGUUUGCACUUGCCACAGGGUUUUGACAGACUGUAUACAUAACCUUUGUUUUAAAUUACUGGUCUCUUAGUUUCAGAUCCAUUUCCAAUAUCCUGUAUUUGUACCCUCCUUUUCUCAUGCUUGCUGGUUUUGAUAUUGGCUCCUAGCUCCUACCUCUACCUUUAAAGCCUGCAGGUAGCAUCUUUUUUCAUUGGUCUCCUUGUUUUCCUCUUCUAUCUCAAAUCUCCAUCUGCCCCUCUCUCGUAAGGACAUUUGUGAUUGCAUUUAUGGCCGACCAAGGUAAUCCAGGAGAGCUUCCUCAUUUCAAGGUCUUUAACAUAAUCCCAUCUGCACAGUUCUUGUGGCCGUGUGAGAAGACGUUCACUGGCUCCAGGGGUUAAGACCUGUGUAUCUUUGGGGGCCUGUUAAACAGCCUACCGCCAUAAGAAUAGAGUACAUUGAAAAUGCAAACACUUUAUAAUGGCACCAGUUCAGUCCAAAAUAAAACCAUCAUGCUCAGCAAAGUCGUAUUUCACAUAAUGUCCCUCACUAACUUAAAAAUGUAAUGAUUAUACAGAAUAGAGUGCUGUGAAAUCAAUUCCCUGGGCUUGGUCUGCUGGAACUUCCUUGGAAGCCACUAGUAGUGCCAGUAGUAGAGGCUCAAGCUGGUUGGAAGUUAUAUAUUCUACAUCCUUAGAUUACCUUGGGCUUCAACUCCAGAUGCUGUGUGGGGUUUACAGGUGUAUAGAAAGAUGCGAAGCGCACACACUGGAGUUACGCAGCGCACAGCGUGCGUGGCCGUGAAUGGUGGGCUCUUUGUGAUGCCCACCAGACCAUACACUCCAGAAACACGUGGCCCCAUCUCGUAUCCCCAUUACCCACUGCAGUGCCAGGCACAGGACAGGCAUUUUUAUUUAUGUAAACAAAGGAAUGAAAAGAUGGCUAUUCAGUCAGUUACCACCAAGUAGCUUCCCAUCUGUGGUACCCAGAAGGGUAGUUUUCUCAGCAUUGGCUGCGCAUUAGAAUUACCUGAGAAAUAUAUUUAAAAAGAAAGUUCUGGUCCUGGACUCUGUUCACAGAGGUUCUUAUUUAUUUGGUCUGGGAGGGGCCAUGUUACUAUUUUUUUUUUUUUUAAUAUCCCUGGUGACUUUAUUAUGCAUGUAGGUAGCUAACCAUCAGUCUAGAAAGUAGUUCUCAAACUUCAGUUUCCAUCAGAAUCACCUGGAGGUCUCAUUAAAACACAGAUUUUCUGCUUCCAUAGGCUGGGAUUGGGGGCUGUGGUAUAUAUUCCUAAGAAGCUCCCAGGUCAGGCUGAUGCUGUUGUUAUGGGGACCAUACUUUGAGAACCACUGCUCUGGAGGGUAGUAGGUAAGUCCCUUCAAUGUACACUGGGCCAAAUAGUUGGGGAGCACUUCUGGACUUAGGGUGUGUGUGUGUGUGUGUGUGUGUGUGUGCGUGCGUGUGUGCGUGUGUGUGCGUGUGCGCGCGCGCACACAGAUUCAGAGGAUGUGAAUCACCCACUCUGCAUUUUAAAUCUCUAAUCUUAUUCCUUCUAUCCAGCAGCCUUUCAAGGUAGGCAUGUUUCACUUUCAGUGUUUUUAGGUGGCAAACUGGAAAAUCAGGGAUAUGAGUUUUGCUUGAAUCCUGCUUCAUCUUUUCAGUCCGUCACAAAGUCACACUCUUGAGAAGGCUAGAGAAAGUUUCACUAUUUUGUGUUCCUCUUCUUUCUCCUUUUCUGGUCACGUCUCUGCCCUGAGCUUGGGUGAGUGCCGGGAGGGACCCUUGGAGCUGACCCUCGUCCCCACUAAGUCUGUGUAAGGGGCAGAGCCCCUGUCCUCCCUGCAGGACACAGGGUGGCUGCUUGGCUAAGAUGCCUCGAAUUGAAUCGAUUUGACUAGAGAUUGACACGCUGACUAAACUAGACUUGGGAAACGACAGAAAUUUGAGAUUGGCUAAGCUUAUCAUCAUCCUCAACCUGCGAUUUUGACUAGGACCUUGUAAAUUACAGAAGAUAUUUUCAGGACCAUACCACCCAUCUCAAAGCCUCAAGGCAAAACUUCCCAGCAGUUACUCCCUGCUGGCUGCCCUCCCUAUUCUUCCGAACCCUCCUCUCCCCACACCUCCCAGCGUCCCUGCCGCCCAGAAGUCUGUGGUUCCCAUUCUGCCUUGUUUGGGUCACAAACCUCGAGUCCAUCCAGAUGGAUCCCAAGCCUCCCUUCCAUCCACUUUACCCAAACUGAAACCACAGCAGCAUUCAGCUGGGGCAGGUGAUUUGAUUAAAGUCAUUUGCACUCUGAUGUAAAUGGGGCUUGAUGCCCCGUGGAAGUCUUGACUUUUAAAGAGGAGCUUGUAAUGACUCGUCUCUCUGGGGCUCUUUUGCGUUAGGGGACACACCUGUGGAGAGCAAGUGCUGUGGAAAAUUUCCUGACCUCCUGGCCUGGGCUGUCCUUUGUUUGGUGUCGGCUAAACACAGAGUUUUAGGCUUCUGACCAAAACCAUCCAUCCUCUCUGCUCCUUUUAGCUUUGCAAGGAGGUGGCAGUGAGACUUGUGCUACGUGGGCCGGCGUGGCUCAGAGAAAACUGUGAAUGUUUGAGACUUCACAUCUCAAAUCUGGAAGAGGCCUUCCGUGUCAGUUUUCUUCUCCUUGCAAGGACUUUACAGGGCAGAAUUUCAGGUAUUUGAAGCUGUCGUUUUAAAGGGUCGUUGGCUCCAGGGGUUUCCUCUGCUCACAUCCCAGGGUCCUCACCAUUCUUGGGACAGAGACUAGUAAAGGAUAAAGGUUUGCUGUGACUCUUGAUCGAAAGGUUGGUGGGAAGACGCCUUGCCGCCCCAUCUCCCAGAGAUGGUCUUUCCACCUGCGACAAGCGGCUGCCCACUGAAAAUCAUGUCUGAGGACCGUAGGCGAGAGUGCGCCCAGCAGUGGAGACUAAACUGCCUGCCAGGUGCAGGAGGUUUUCAUUGCUCGAGGAAACUGUAACCUACACAGUUUAAGCAAUGCCGUGACUGCGGGAAAUAAAAGGGACCUUUUGUCCUCAGCAUUUCAGACCCAGUUGAGCCUCCCAGCCCCCACCAGAUUCUUACAAAGAGGCUCUAAUCACCAGUAUCUCAGGAUGUGACUGGAUUUGGAGAUAGGCCUUUAAAGAGAUAAUUGGGUUAAAGUGACGUCAUUACAUUGGACCCAGAUCCAGUGCGAUGGGUGUCCUUAUAGAAUGAGGAGCCUGCGGGUUUGGGAUUGGCAUAUGCAUGCUGAGGUACCUGGAAUGAUGGGCCAGUGGGUCCUGCUGUACAGCACAGAGAACUCUACCUAAUACUAUGUGAUAAUCUAUGAGAGAAAAAGAAUUUGAAAGAGAAGGAUGCAUGUGCAUGUGUAACAGUCACUUAGUUGUCCAGCAGAAAUGAUCUCAACCUUGUUAAUCAACUCUACUUCAGUAAAGCUUUGAAUUAGUGAGCUGGACGGGGAGUUUGGGCUGGGAGAGGCAAACUGUUGCAUUCAGAGAUCUCACUGCUCAUCCACUCCAAAUGCAAGAGUUUGCAUCUACUAGCCCCAAACUCCCCAUCCAUCCAACCCUCCCCCCGACCUCGGCAACCACAAGUCUGUUUUCCAUGUCCAUGAGUUUGUUUUUUUUUUCUGUAGAUAGGUUCAUUUGUGCUAUAUAUUAGAUUCCAGAACACUCCCAAAGACAUGCUGUGAAGCCACCAUCACCCUAAUCCCAAAACCAGAGAAAGAUACUACUAAAAAAGAAAAUAUAAACCAAUAUCUUUGAUGAAUGUAGAUGCAAAAAUUCUCAAAAAAAUUUUAGCCAACCGAGUCCCACAACAUAUAAAAAAGAUCAUACACCAUGACCAAGUGGGAUUCAUCCCAUGUUCACAGGGAUGGUUCAACAUAUGCAAAUCAGUCAAUGUCAUACACCACAUUAACUAAAUAAGUCAAAAACCACGUGAUCAUCUCAAUAGAUGCAGAAAAAGCAUUUGACGUUUACAUACAAACACUUCAGUCAGUGAAAGCGCAAUACACACUCUCUUCAAGAACACAGUUUACCAUAAUAAAUCAUAUUAUGAAGUCUCAGAUGAAGUUUUAAAAAAUUAAGUCAUAUAAAAUAUGUUCUUUUCUUUUUUUUUCCUUUUUACAGAUGCACCUACAGCAUAUGGCAGUUCCUGGCCUUGAGGUCAGAUUGAAGCUGUAGCUACCAGCCUAUGCCACAGUCAAAGCGACACCAGAUCUGAGCCACAUCUGUGGCCUCUGCUGCAACUUCCGGCAGUGCUGGAUCCUUAGCCACUACCUGAGGCCAGGGAUUGAACCCGAAUCCUUAUGGACACUAUGUCAGGUUCUUCACCUGCUGAGCCACAGUAGGACCUCCUAAGGUAUGUUUUUUGACCACAAUAGAAUUAAAUUAGAAACACUAACAAUAAGAUAUCUGUGAAAUCCCCCAAAAUUUGGAUACUAAAUAACACAUUUCUAAAUAAUCUGUGUCAAAGAAAAAGCUGAAGAUAAAUGAGAAAGUAUUUUGAAAAGAAUACAACUACAAUAUCUGAGAAUUUGGGGAAUAGCACUAAAGUAGUGCUUAGGGGGAGAAAUUUGUGGUUCUAAAAACUGACAUUAGAAAUGAAAAGUGGAGUUCCCAUCGUGGCUCAGUGGUUAACGAACACGACUAGGAUCCAUGAGGAUGCGGGUUCAAUCCCUGGCCUUGCUCAGUGGGUUAAGGAUCUGGCGUUGCUGUGAGCUGUGGUGAAGGUCACAGACAUGGCUCGGAUCUGGUGUUGCUGUGGCUCUGGUGCAGGCUGGCGGCAACAGCUCCGAUUUGACCCCUAGCCUGGGAACCUCCAUGUGCUGUGCCCAAAAAUGACCAAAAAAAAAAAAAAAAAAAAAAAAA
rnacentral:lncRNA from 1 species